GAGGGGACUUACUAGAGAGGGCUGGCCGUC
rnacentral:piRNA from 1 species